rnacentral:rRNA from 1 species
AUUGAACGCUGGCGGCAGGCCUAACACAUGCAAGUCGAGCGGAUGAAGGGAGCUUGCUCCUGGAUUCAGCGGCGGACGGGUGAGUAAUGCCUAGGAAUCUGCCUGUUAGUGGGGGAUAACGUCCGGAAACGGGCGCUAAUACCGCAUACGUCCUGAGGGAGAAAGUGGGGGAUCUUCGGACCUCACGCUAUCAGAUGAGCCUAGGUCGGAUUAGCUAGUUGGUGGGGUAAAGGCCUACCAAGGCGACGAUCCGUAACUGGUCUGAGAGGAUGAUCAGUCACACUGGAACUGAGACACGGUCCAGACUCCUACGGGAGGCAGCAGUGGGGAAUAUUGGACAAUGGGCGAAAGCCUGAUCCAGCCAUGCCGCGUGUGUGAAGAAGGUCUUCGGAUUGUAAAGCACUUUAAGUUUGGAGGAAGGGCAGUAAGUUAAUACCUUGCUGUUUUGACGUUACCAACAGAAUAAGCACCGGCUAACUUCGUG